rnacentral:rRNA from 1 species
AUUGAACGCUGGCGGCAUGCCUUACACAUGCAAGUCGAACGGCAGCACGGGAGCAAUCCUGGUGGCGAGUGGCGAACGGGUGAGUAAUAUAUCGGAACGUGCCCAGUCGUGGGGGAUAACGUAGCGAAAGCUACGCUAAUACCGCAUACGAUCUAUGGAUGAAAGCGGGGGAUCGCAAGACCUCGCGCGAUUGGAGCGGCCGAUAUCAGAUUAGGUAGUUGGUGAGGUAAAGGCUCACCAAGCCGACGAUCUGUAGCUGGUCUGAGAGGACGACCAGCCACACUGGGACUGAGACACGGCCCAGACUCCUACGGGAGGCAGCAGUGGGGAAUUUUGGACAAUGGGCGCAAGCCUGAUCCAGCAAUGCCGCGUGCAGGAUGAAGGCCUUCGGGUUGUAAACUGCUUUUGUACGGAACGAAACGGCGAGCUCUAAUACAGCUUGCUAAUGACGGUACCGUAAGAAUAAGCACCGGCUAACAACGUGCCAGCCGCCGAAGUAAGAC